CCUACGGGUGGCAGCAGUGGGGAAUAUUGCACAAUGGGGGAAACCCUGAUGCAGCGACGCCGCGUGAGCGUUGAAGUAUUUCGGUAUGUAAAGCUCUAUCAGCAGGGAAGAAAAUUACGGUACCUUACUAAGAAGCCCCUGCUAACUACGUGCCAGCCGCCUCGGUAAUACGUAGGGGGCAAGCGUUAUCAGGAUUUACUGGGUGUAAAGGGAGCGUAGACGGCUUGGCAAGCCAGAUGUGAAAGGCUGGGGCACAAGGCCAGUACUGCAUUUGGAACUGUCAUGCUAGAGUGUCGGAGAGGCAGGAGGAAUGCCUAGUGUAGCGGUGAAAUGCGUAGAUAUUAGGAGGAACACCAGUGGCGAAGGCGGCCUGCUGGACGAUGACUGACGUUGAGGCUCGAAAGCGUGGGGAGCAAACAGGAUUAGAUACCCCAGUAGUC
rnacentral:rRNA from 1 species